rnacentral:rRNA from 1 species
UAGGGAAUCUUCGGCAAUGGGGGGAACCCUGACCGAGCAACGCCGCGUGAGUGAAGAAGGUUUUCGGAUCGUAAAGCUCUGUUGUUAAGGAAGAACGAGUGUGAGAAUGGAAAGUUCAUGCUGUGACGGUACUUAACCAGAAAGGGACGGCUAACUACGUGCCAGCAGCCGCGGUAAUACGUAGGUCCCGAGCGUUGUCCGGAUUUAUUGGGCGUAAAGCGAGCGCAGGCGGUUAGAAAAGUCUGAAGUGAAAGGCAGUGGCUCAACCAUUGUAGGCUUUGGAAACUGUUUAACUUGAGUGCAGAAGGGGAGAGUGCAAUUCCAUGUGUAGCGAUGAAAUGCGUAGAUAUAUGGAGGAGCACCGGUGGCGAAAGCGGAUCUCUGAUCUGUAACUGACGCUGAGGCUCGAAAGCGUGGGGAGCGAACAGG